CCGACUGGGAGGUGCCCCCCGCCCAUCCUUGCUCAAGGGACAACGAUCGAGCGAAUUCUGCGUGGACCACGGCUAAAGAGCAUUUUCCCAAGCCGAUAAAAGUGACUCCUGCUCCCAACAAUUUCGUGGCUUUAUUUUCUCCUGGCUAACACCUUUCCCAGGGUGCGCUGAAAUCCCUUUAUCAUUAUAGAUUUUUUUAAUGAAGUGAUUUUAUUUCUCCGCUGUAUUCAGGAUAACGAAAAGGCUUGAGCCGAGCUCUGCACCCCACAGCAAAGCAAACCUAACUACCGUAGCCCAGACUCAGGGGAGCGAGCAUGGCUAGCAACCACUUGUACUUCGGAGCCGCUUGGGCCCUGCUAGCUGUGUUAAUUACGGGUUCUAAUUUUAUGGCAUCUCGGCUCCUCCUGGUUUGUCCCCACUAUAGCGGUCUUAAAAAGAAGCACCCACAGGCACACACCAGAAUGAAUUCCCAGGAAAGACAAAGGUGGAUUUCUCUGACUGUCGGUCGAUAAGCUGAGAGCGCGCAGGGAGCCAGAUGGGCAUGUCCCGGCAGUCGGGAGUAAAUCUCAGCGGAGAGCAGCGCCUUCCCAAUUCUUCCCGGUCCUCGCCGUACCCCUGUCCCUGCCGGUCGACCGCGGCGCUCCCUGGGGACGCUGUAGAGCUAUUCAGUAGCUGCUGCCCGCGCCUCCCUGGCCUGGGGUAGCCUGGCCGGGAGAUAGUGCAUGGUGCAUGCGGCCCUCGCCCGGUCAGUCCUGACCUCCUCGGCAAGGAGUCCUCGCGCAUGGUGUGGAUGCGUAGGGUGCGGGCCCUCUGCCCCAGCUCGAGUGCCGCCUUAGGCGGGUUUCUCUCCUCUAAGUCGUGGAGGUGGGAAAGGGGGUGUCCACUUGCCGUGCAGAUACCUGUGGUAAGGGGGCUUCUCUUGGGGCUUUAGCACCAGCGGUUCCUGCAGAAUAGGGAAAUGGCGAGAUCAAUGACAUUGGGGGGCAUAGUGGGAUUGACACCCCCGUCUACUUAUUAAUCGUGUGAUCUCACUUAAUCUAAAUGUCUUGUGUGCUCUUCUUUACUCUUUCUCUCUUUUAUCUGUAGUGAAACGGGGAAGAUAAUAAUAUCUCCUUUGUAAAGUUAUUGUGGCAAAUGGUAGGAUGAGCCUUCCUGGCCCAGAACCUCUUGGCAGUUUCCGGCUUUCCCGCCGCAGCGCAGAGAUAACUCACAGGCAGGGCCGGUGAGGAGGCCCUGGGGACCGCGAGAGGAUCCAGCCCGGCGUCCUGUGGAAGAUGGGCUUUCAGCGAAUCAUGAAAAGACUGAGGCUCUGGUUUUCCUUGGAACGUGGUGGAGAAAGGUAGGAGGAUCUGGAUCCCAGUGCAGAGUUGACUGUGGGGGAGGAAUUGCAAGGGGGAACUAAAAAUUUCGGGCCAUCGAAAUUCUGUGGAUUUUCAAAGGCCUUUCCCAGCCUUGGCAAAAAUUACUGUGGGAGCGCGAUCAACUCUGACCUGUAGGUGGCGCAAUGACCAGGUGACUCGGCCGGGAAAGAAGACCGCGGGAAAUUUUACGUGACUCGGACCCGACUCUCAGCUCCCAGCCUCCGCUUCACGUUUUCGGAGGGACAGCUAGGAUAGUGCAGCAUGAGGCUCCGCUCUCGGGACGCCCUUUGGGCCAAUCGAGUCUUCGCAAGGAGGCAGCCCCACUGCCCUCGCACGGACCCUGAGGGCAGGGUCUUGAAGAACCCCGAAACC
ensembl:lncRNA